rnacentral:rRNA from 1 species
UGGGGAAUUUUGCACAAUGGGGGAAACCCUGAUGCAGCGACGCCGCGUGAUUUAGAAGGCCUUCGGGUUGUAAAAAUCUUUUGUAUGGGAAGAAAAUGACAGUACCAUACGAAUAAGGACCGGCUAAUUACGUGCCAGCAGCCGCGGUAAUACGUAAGGUCCGAGCGUUGUCCGGAAUCAUUGGGCGUAAAGGGUACGUAGGCGGAUAAGCAAGUUAGAAGUGAAAUCCUAUAGCUCAACUAUAGUAAGCUUUUAAAACUGCUCAUCUUGAGGUAUGGAAGGGAAAGUGGAAUUCCUAGUGUAGCGGUGAAAUGCGCAGAUAUUAGGAGGAAUACCGGUGGCGAAGGCGACUUUCUGGCCAUAUACUGACGCUGAGGUACGAAAGCGGGGGUAGCAAACAGG